AUUGAACGCUGGCGGCAGGCCUAACACAUGCAAGUCGAACGGUAACAGGAAGCAGCUUGCUGCUUUGCUGACGAGUGGCGGACGGGUGAGUAAUGUCUGGGAAACUGCCCGAUGGAGGGGGAUAACUACUGGAAACGGUAGCUAAUACCGCAUAACGUCGCAAGACCAAAGAGGGGGACCUUAGGGCCUCUUGCCAUCGGAUGUGCCCAGAUGGGAUUAGCUAGUAGGUGGGGUAACGGCUCACCUAGGCGACAAUCCCUAGCUGGUCUGAGAGGAUGACCAGCCACACUGGAACUGAGACACGGUCCAGACUCCUACGGGAGGCAGCAGUGGGGAAUAUUGCACAAUGGGCGCAAGCCUGAUGCAGCCAUGCCGCGUGUAUGAAGAAGGCCUUCGGGUUGUAAAGUACUUUCAGCGGGGAGGAAGGGAGUAAAGUUAAUACCUUUGCUCAUUGACGUUACCCGCAGAAGAAGCACCGGCUAACUCCGUG
rnacentral:rRNA from 1 species